rnacentral:tRNA from 1 species
GAGGGUAUAGCUCAGUGGCAGAGUGUAUGUCUAGCAUGCACAAGGUCCUGGGUUCAAUCCCCUGUACCUCCA